AUUUAAGUAGCUUAAAUCUAAAGCUAAACAUUGAAAAUGUUUAGAUGUAUUUUAAUACCUUAAAUA
rnacentral:tRNA from 1 species